rnacentral:lncRNA from 1 species
AUCAAUUAAUUAAUGAACCUGGAAAAAUACUAGAAAUCUGGAUUUUAUCUCUUACGCUUCGAUGCUCGAACACUCCACCACAAGUCGGUUGGAUUUGUUCUUCACAAUUCUCGAUCAGAUAGGAAAGUAAAAACAAGGAAAUAAAAUACUAUGAUCUAACGUAAGGUUAGAUCCAGUAAAAAUUACACAAUAGUUUCCGGUGUAGAAACUAUCGUGAGAAAGUAAAUUGUAUGCUUCGGAAAUUAAACUAAAAGAAAAAGAAAAAAAAAGAAAUAAAUUGCUUGAAAAAUUAGAAUGCUGGAAAAAUUGUACGGAGAAGAGAGCGCUUCAAUUGGCUUUUGUGAGGUUUAUUUAUAUUAACCUCCCAAGAUAACCGUCUCCUAGAAUGUGUCUUCAGUAUGGUUCAAAGCGUCUCCGAGUGCAUGAGAGAAUUUAUGGGAAACCGUCC